UCUCCCAUCCUUCCUGAAGGUUCAUAUUGCUCUAUGGAAGUGGUUUCCUUGGACCAGUUAACACAGGAAUAAGAUGGCAAGCAAGAAGAAGGAAGUUCAGCUACAGGCAGUAAUACUUACUCAAGAACAAUGGGAAGAAAUGUUGCUGAAGAAAGGUCUAACAGUAGUAGAUGUAUAUCAGGCUUGGUGCGGACCUUGCAAAGCUGUCUUGAGCUUAUUCAGAAAACUAAAAAACGAGUAUGGUGAAGAUGAUCUUCUGCAUUUUG